UCCUGAUGACUAUUAUGAGCU
rnacentral:miRNA from 1 species